UAUACGACCGUACCGCAAACCGACACUGGUGCGCGAGAUGAGUAUUCUAAGGCGCUUGAGAGAACUCAGGAGAAGGAACUCGGCAAAUUGACACCGUAACUUCGGAAGAAGGUGUGCCCUAUUAGUGUGUAGUGAACAACGAAGCAUGAAUGGGUUGCAAAAAAUUGGUGGCUGCGACUGUUUAUUAAAAACACAGCACUCUGCAAACACGAAAGUGGACGUAUAGGGUGUGACGCCUGCCCGGUGCUGGAAGAUUAAAUGAUGGGGUGCAAGCUCUUGAUUGAAGUCCCAGUAAACGGCGGCCGUAACAAUAACGGUCCUAAGGUAGCGAAAUUCCUUGUCGGGUAAGUUCCGACCUGCACGAAUGGCGUAACGAUGGCCACACUGUCUCCUCCUGAGACUCAGCGAAGUUGAAAUGUUUGUGAUGAUGCAAUCUCCCCGCGGAAAGACGGAAAGACCCCAUGAACCUUUACUGUAGCUUUGUAUUGGACUUUGAACAGAUCUGUGUAGGAUAGGUGGGAGGCUUUGAAGCAGGGUCGCUAGAUCUUGUGGAGCCAACGUUGAAAUACCACCCUGGUGUGUUUGAGGUUCUAACCUAGGUCCAUUAUCUGGAUCGGGGACAGUGCAUGGUAGGCAGUUUGACUGGGGCGGUCUCCUCCCAAAGCGUAACGGAGGAGUUCGAAGGUACGCUAGUUACGGUCGGACAUCGUGACGAUAGUGCAAUGGCAUAAGCGUGCUUAACUGCGAGACUGACAAGUCGAGCAGAUGCGAAAGCAGGACAUAGUGAUCCGGUGGUUCUGUAUGGAAGGGCCAUCGCUCAACGGAUAAAAGGUACUCUGGGGAUAACAGGCUGAUACCGCCCAAGAGUUCAUAUCGACGGCGGUGUUUGGCACCUCGAUGUCGGCUCAUCUCAUCCUGGGGCUGUAGCCGGUCCCAAGGGUAUGGCUGUUCGCCAUUUAAAGAGGUACGUGAGCUGGGUUUAAAACGUCGUGAGACAGUUUGGUCCCUAUCUUCCGUGGGCGCUGCAGAUUUGAGGAAGCCUGCUCCUAGUACGAGAGGACCGGAGUGGACACACCUCUGGUGUAUCGGUUGUCACGCCAGUGGCAUUGCCGAGUAGCUAAGUGUGGAAGAGAUAACCGCUGAAAGCAUCUAAGCGGGAAACUCGUUUCAAGAUGAGAUCUGCCGGGGCCUUGAGCCCCCUAAAGAGUCGUUCAAGACCAGGACGUUGAUAGGUCAGGUGUGGAAGCCAA
rnacentral:rRNA from 1 species